GUCUGGUUCGGAAUCUAGUUUGGGGAGGGGGUAGCGUGGGGAGGAGGGAGGAGGGUUAGAGGAACGACGGCGGCGGUGGAGGAGGGGCAGGGCCGGGGAGGGGGAGGAGGAGCUGGUGCGGAGCAGCCUCUCUCUCUCUCCGCAGCGGGGGUCGCUGAUGCCAACAAGGGGGGAGGAGGGAGGAGGAAGCGCGGAGCGGGUGCCGCGCGGCGGGGCCGCGCGACGGCGACGAUAAAUAAGGGAGGUUUAGUGGUAACGGGUGUCGUCGUUCCUUAGUUCUAGGUUAGGGGAGGGGAGGGUAGGUGAGGAGGGGGCGCCGUUGUCUCUAGGUCGGUCUAGGCGGAUCAAGGUACCGCUGGCGGCCGUUGCGGGGGCGAGGGCGUUCGCGUAGCUCCGGUGGCAGGAGUUCGUGCGCGCGCUGCCUUCACGGAAGUGGGCGACGCUCACACGUUGUUCUUGCAUCGGUAGCAGGAGUAGCUGGAAGUGUCGACGUCGGAGCUGAGGUUCUAUCCGGAGUCGGAGCUACGCAGAGUCGAGGAGUGGAGAAGGUUGCGUAGAAGCCAAACCCGCCGGCCCGACCUCCGACCUCGUCUAGACCUCAAAUUAAAAGGUAUCAGUCCAACAUUAUUAAAAGUUGAAUAUCGGCCCAACGAGACGAGAGUCAUUGAACAUCAAAACACUUACAAGAGUACAACUAAGAUAGAAGGCGGACCGAGUUUGUAAUAUUGUCGGAUGAGCAAAAAUCCUCCUCACCGUCAUAAUCAAUCAAAAAGAACCUCCUGUCAUUCUAGUACGAAACUAGAACAUACGAUGAUACCAAUAAAACAUCCAUCAUAAACGGUUUCCAACCUCCAGUUGCCAGCAGUGUUCGGAUGUUCUCUUAUAUAACUGUCUCUCACAUUACCACAUUUUGGUGGGUUAUUAAAACCGCUUCAACUAGGGACCUGGCGCACCCGCAUGUCUGGUACCUGGUAGAGCAACAAUGACUACCCUUGGACGAAAAAUUACACUCGACGACGACCUAGAGAAAAUGGACACCUCAAUAAAAAUCAAAAAGAUGUCUCUAAGAAUGUUGUUACUACAAUCAUUACGUGGCGAUUACCAACUGGAUGAUACCGUAAAAUGUUAAC
rnacentral:rRNA from 1 species